GGGCUUGACAUCCCACGAACCUGCCUGAAAGGGUGGGGUGCCCGCAAGGGAGCGUGGAGACAGGUGGUGCAUGGCUGUCGUCAGCUCGUGUCGUGAGAUGUUGGGUUAAGUCCCGCAACGAGCGCAACCCUCACCCCUUGUUGCGACCGGGUUAUGCCGAGCACUCGAGGGGAACUGCCAGCGUCAAGCUGGAGGAAGGCGGGGAUGACGUCAAGUCAUCAUGCCCCUUACGCCCUGGGCUACACACGUGCUACAAUGGCCAGUACAAAGGGAUGCGAGACUGCGAAGUGGAGCUAAUCCCAAAAAGCUGGUCUAAGUUCAGAUUGCAGUCUGCAACUCGACUGCAUGAAGGAGGAAUCGCUAGUAAUCGCGCAUCUGCCCGGCGCGGUGAAUACGUUCCCGGGCCUCGUACACACCGCCCGUCACACCACGAAAGCUGUCUGUACUCGAAGUCGCUGAG
rnacentral:rRNA from 1 species